GACAGAGGGGGCUAGCGUUGUUCGGAAUGAUUGGGCGUAAAGGGUGCGUAGGCUGUUUCUUAAGUAAGAUGUAAAAGCCCCAGACUUAAUCUGGGAAGGUCAUUUUAAACUGAGAGACUAGAGGACCAAAGAGAGAAGCGGAAUUCCUGGUGGAGAGGUGAAAUUCUUUGAUAUCAGGAGGAACAUCAAAGGCGAAGGCAGCUUCUUGGGUGGUUACUGACGUUGAGGCACGAAAGCGUGGGGAGCAAACAGG
rnacentral:rRNA from 1 species